AAUCAACGCUGGCGGCGUGCCUCAGACAUGCAAGUCGAACGAUUAAAGCUCUCUUCGGAGAGUGCAUAGAGUGGCGCACGGGUGAGUAACACGUAAGUAAUCUACCCUCGAGUGGGGAAUAACGUCCGGAAACGGGCGCUAAUACCGCAUAAUGCAGCGGCAUCACAAGAUGACAGUUGUUAAAGAUUUAUCGCUUGAGGAGGAGCUUGCGGUAGAUUAGCUAGUUGGUAAGGUAACGGCUUACCAAGGCUACGAUCUGUAACCGGUCUUAGAGGACGGUCGGUCACACUGACACUGAAUAACGGGUCAGACUCCUACGGGAGGCAGCAGUCGGGAAUGUUGGGCAAUGGGCGAAAGCCUGACCCAGCAACGCCGCGUGAAGGAUGAAGUAUUUCGGUAUGUAAACUUCGAAAGAAUAGGAAGAAUUAAUGACGGUACUAUUUAUAAGGUCCGGCUAACUACGUGCCAGCCGCCGCCGUAA
rnacentral:rRNA from 1 species